AAUCACUUCCCUCAUGGUGAACAACUUCAAAAAUGACUCCAUCAUAAACACAGUCCACUUGUUUUCAUAAUCAACCCAAAUGUCACUUGGACCUUUUCGGAAAGUUUGUCGCAAAUUGAAGAAA